rnacentral:lncRNA from 10 species
UCUGGGAAGUGAGGAGCGUCUCUGCCUGGCUGCCCAUCGUCUGGGAUGUGAGGAGCGUCUCUGCCCGGCCGCCCAUCGUCUGAGAUGUGGGGAGCGCCUCUACCCCGCUGCCCCAUCUGGGAUGUGAGGAGCGCCUCUGCCCGGCCACGACCCCGUCUGGGAUCUGAGGAGUGUCUCUGCCCGACCGCCACCCCGUCUGGGAGGCAAGCGGAGCCCUCCACCACGUGGCCAGAAUUUCCUGACGUCCAAGAAAGGGCAUUAAACAAUAUGGCUUCUGAGAAAACAUCUAAUAUCAGAUAAGUCAUUGAAUAUAAAAGUUCAUCUCUGUACUCACAGUGCCAGAGUCAGUGCCUGGCCCACAGUAAACACCUAAAGAGUAUUUAUUGAAAAAAAUGAAUGGGUUGUUAUUUUAUCAGGGACUAUACUCUUAGGGAGGAAUGAGGUACAAGGGGAGAGAUGCUGGAAAGGAUGGAGAGCCAAUAUGGAGGAGUACUGAGCUGCCGAGUGUGACUGAUUGCUCAAUCCACAGACCACACUCCCAAGAAGGUGGAUAAAUGGGAGCUCAGAACCAGCCCUGUGAUGGAGUGGGGAAAGGGAGAAGAACUUACUCCCGGGAUGUGCUUGGUCUAAGAUUCACCCCCUUGCUCCUCUGGAUUGUGCAUUCCAGAGCGUGGGCAUUAGUGGAGUCUGCAGUGAUGUCAACAUGGGAGUGUUGGGUGGGAGAUGAGAGGGGUACUGGUGUGAAAUUGGCUGGGGCCCACACAGAGCUGGAACAAGAGAUGGGGAGGCCGAGGCUCUGGAGUGGUGCAUAAACAGGUGUUGGGCACAAUGUAUAUAAAUUAGCCUUUUAAAUUAUCUACCAUCAUGGGCAGGACUUGAGACUGGAGGAUAGGCCAUUUGGGGAAGGUUUAUGUGGGGUGUUCUCAUAUUCAAUUCCUGGCAAGGUUCUAGGUACAUUGGAAGUAUCAAUAAGAAUCAACUGGUUGAUUGCAUAGAGGCAUCUAAGCAGGCCAGUAUGAUACUAGGUACUAGGUUCCUAAAGGGGGACACUGAUGGAGGGGAAGUGAAUGUGGGGACAUGAGGAGAAAUGGUGGACAGAAAGGGGCUGAAAACAAACUUAAUCCACUUUAUAAUUUUGUCUGGGUCCAAGCUGACUUGGAAAUAUUCCCUAUGUCCUCUCCUUUGUUCUAAAAGCACCCAGAACCCCUUCCGAAGUUUCUUCUUUAAUAAGAUUUCCUAAUCAUUAUAAAACCCACUUAAGACCCAGGUAAAGGUUGUGCUCCUAAGGAUCAAUAAACUCAACUUUCCACUAGAUUUUCCUGAAGCCCAAGCACUGCUCUCUUUGUUUUCAGCAUAUAUCACCACCGCCUAAGUUAGGUCUGUUGUCCAGUAAGUAGAUAGUAUAGCUCUCUUUUGCUCCACACAUUGUCUACAGCUGACAGGUAUCAUUUGGAGAAUAAAAUUAGCAAAUGUUAUUGCUGUGUCUAUUUAUAUUUUAUUAAUCAACAGAUUUUUAGCAAAUUUUGGUUUUAUCUCCAUGAAUCAUAGACUUGAAAGGCCAAAGACACUCCAGGGAAUUCUUUAUUUUAGCAUCUUCUUUCCAGGCAAAAAGACAGGACAUCCCCAUUAGAGUUGUUGUAUUGGACCCCUCGUGUGCACCACUUCAAAGUCCUCUUGGGUUGUUCCUCUUAUUUCAGCCACAGCUGUAGACACCUGUUUUCCUGGAGGCUUUGAGCAGCUUGGCACAGGUGCUCUAGGACAGUGGCCUCACCUUGACCCUCAUAGGGAUCUCUUGCUUCCUGCCCUAGCCAUCUCUAAUCUUGGUUAAUAGUUCUAGAAAUCCACUCUGCACUCAAGCACAACCCAGCAGUGCAGGGGAGUUAGUCUUGUGAGGGCCAGUCUAGACCAGUGAAGAUCUGGAGUCAGUGGAUAAAAGCACUCCAUUUCAUCCCCUGGCAGACAGUUCUGAAACACUUCAUAAACCCUUUCACCAGUCCACUGGGAUCAACCAGCCAAUGCAAUGACACAGGCUUCUGUUGGCUCCUCCCCUCACUUUCUUCCACUCCCCCUUUCUGCAUUUCUGCUCCUGAGGAUCACAUUUCCAAACAAGCUACUUAUGCACAAGUCCCCAAAUGCUGAGCCAGAGACUAAGGCUUGUGCAUAAGUAGUCUCUGGCUCAGCUUUUGGGGGACCCUAGGCUAACACAAGUGGUUGGCAGUCUUAGAUUGGGUUUGCAAAAUCUCAUACCCUGGAUUCAUGCUCCCAGGGUGCAUCACCCAUGAUUGGUCCCUUGAUGCACCCACCACCUCCCCGACAGAAGGACUCCUCAACUACAGUGAUGUGGUGUGUGUGUGUGUGUUUGAUGUGUGUAUUUUUUCCAAGGCUGAAAUAGGAAACAGGAAAGAGACAUUCCCUGAGAACUUUUGUGCCUACCCUUUUUUUGGUUCUCUCACUUGUCUCCUUUAUACAAGGAGGACACAGAUUUAGAGAGGCCAGAUAACUCAUCCAAGACCACACAGCAAGAAUUCAAACUAGAAUUUGAACCCAGUCCUGUGGAUUCAAAGUCCAUAAUCUUUCUACAGCAUGGGAACAGCAGACAAAUCCUUAUAAGUCUUGAGCAUCCUUUUACUUCCACAUGUACUCCUUGAAGAUCUAUAGGACACACUUUACAUAAGGCAUGACCUGUAGAUGUGCAGUUUCACUCUUUUCUGGGGUCAUUUCUUCUCAGGUCUCUGCAUUUGGUCCUUCUCCAUCUCCUUUGGAAAACAAGGUGCUGAGCUGCUUUCCUGGCUCAUUUUGACUCUCAGUGUAAAAAGUGUUCUGCUUUGUUGGCUAGAUUUUCCCCUUUUCUUCCUCCACUGGGUCACAUACUUUCACCACGAAGCCUUUUGGCUUAUCUUUUUAUUCUCCUUUGCCUCAUUAGAAGCAUAACUACAGACUCCCUUGGUGCAAAUUCCUUCACUCUAGGCAGAAGUGCAGAAGCUACCACGUGGAGAAGCAUUUCCCAGACAUCUUCAAUGUCUCUUCAAGCUUGACUUGGGGGAAUGCAUAGGAAGGAAGGUGAACAUCAUAAACCCAUGGAGACCACUGACACAACCCUCAUCUUCCAAGGUGCUUGGUUAGAGUGAGUGUCUCAUCCCUACGGCCCCCACAGGAACCACGUGGAUGCCCUGUGGCAGAAAACCCCCAAUUUCAUCUCAGUCUCUAGAUUCCAGGAGGAAUAACCAAAUCAUAUUAUCUUAUCUGCCUGCUUUAUUUCACUGCGUUCAUGAAACACCUUCACAGAAAAGAAUUUCAUUUCUUUCCUUGCCUAGUGUUUUUUCUUUUUGUGCAGAAAUGAGAACUGAUGUUCUUUCUCUCCAAGUGUGGGAUGAGAAUAACACUAACUCCAAAGGUUAGAAAGAAAGAAAUCCUCUGUACAUGAAUGACACAAAUAGUCUGGCCUCUUCACUAACAGGUGCAAAGGGCCAUAAGAGCCAAUUGCAGUGUAUUGCCCUAACUCCGAGCUUCCGCAUCAGGCAGUGCUGAAACAGGGCCUGCCUGCUUCCUGCCAGCGCCAUCUGGCAGGUGCUAGUGUGGCUCAGCCAUGAGCCAGGCUGUAUAAUUGCCUCAAAUCAUGGUGGGGUGCUUCUCUGAAACCCUUACCCCUACCAUGAGUGCAACUGUCACAUAGAAACCACUUAGGAAGCUAGAAGUCAUUCAUCUGACCCACUCCACAGAGCCUGGCUCACAGGCUUAUGGGAUGACUUAAUCAGAAAGCUAAUUUUCAUGUUGGGUGGGUGCCACCAGCAAGGAACACAUGUUAGACAGCUGAAAGUGACCUGGGCCAGGCCUCAUACCAGUCCAGCAAUCUGAAGAGUUCUUGAACUUCAUUUACCCUAUUAUACACUCAAGUCUUCCUGCAUUCAGUCUUUCCAUAUUGCAUUGCCUGCUGUUUUUAAAACAUACCAUAAUAUUACUACUAUGUUUAAUACUAUGUAUAUGAAAAUAUAAUAUGGCUUUAGCAUCUUUGUUUCUUUUUUUUUGAGAUGGAGUCUCACUCUGGCUGGAAUGCAGUGGUGCAGUCUUGGCUCACUGCAACCUCUGUCUCCCGAGUUCAAGCGAUUCUCCUGCCUCAGCUGCGCAAGUAGCUGGUAUUACAGCAGAUGAAUAAUAGGGGGUCUCCAACCGGACAGAAAAUGAAUGCUGUCCUCACAUUUGUGUAAGAGGAGCCGAGACAUCUGGAUGUGAAGCCCCAUCAAGUGCUCCCAGGGGCAAUGGUGGCACCUGUGGAACCUCCAACAGCUCAUGGAGCCCCACCUUCUGAAAGAUGUUCAGAGCUGAGUGUGCGGGAGCCGUGGCUCAUACAGGGCUUUGGGAGACAGAAUCACAUUUAGAAAGUAAGGCUGUGUGACAAUACCCAGGGCACAUUCCCAGCUGUCCCUGCCUUUAUCGUUUGUAGGGACCUGGUGCUUUGCAGUUCUCCUGGAUCCUGCAUAAACCCUGGAGCUUUGGGAUACAGGCUAAUGGAAUAUCCUUGCCCCUGGGGGAGGGCUACACUGGUGUCCUCACCCUUGACUUCAUGGUGAUGGUGGUUCACCUUGCAGAUGGAUCCCAAUGUCCCUCUGUGAGACAUAGAUGAUUUCACAGCACAGCUUUUUUGGGGUCUAUCCUGAUCUGACCCAGUUUAACAGUGGGUAGAGUCCUCCAUGUCUUUCUCCAUCAUCUCCUGGGAACCAGUUUCACACCUGACCUCUAUUUUAUGCUUUCCAAAUUACACAGGAAAAUUUGGCUUCCUUCUGGAAACUCCUAAAGUGCAAAACACUCAUGUUUUUAACUGCUCCAUCCCUAUUAUAAUAGUCAAUACAUAUUAAGCACUUACUGUGUGCCAGGCUGUCUGUGCCAAGAAAUUUGCAAACAUUAGCUUACUUUAUCUUUACAGGAGUUCUCUGAGAUAGGUAUUAUUAACAUAUAAUGGUUUGUUAAUACAAAGUUUCACAGAUGCUUCCAGAAUUCACAAAAAACUGUGCACAGUGUCUUUAAGAAUUAACUGGCACAUUCAUACCUUGAUGAGAGCAUUCUCUUUUAAUCAUGCCCUUCUUAUUUGCCAUACCAUUUACAACAAAAUACACCAUUGAUGUUUAGCUAAAUGAAAGCUGAAAAAGAAAAUUGGUGAAUGAGAAAGCCAGUGGUCAUGAAAGUGCUAGAAAUAUUCAGCAGUUUGAAUAGCUCUGAACUGUGUAAAUCAUUUGAAAUAUUCCUUCCCCCACCUAUGAACUGAUUUUUAUUGUUUUUCAUAAAUUUUUUCUUUUUUUCAUAGUAUUAAUGUAUUGUAUGUGUUUUCAAAUAUUUUCUCAUAUAUGAAAAGGGCCAUUCCACAGUGUUCUUUGUAAGCUUUCCCUCACAUCAUUGUUUUGGAUGAGGCUUUAUGCUUCUCAAAGCAGUGAGAUAACAGAUAACACAGAAGCCAUGUGCUGGCACUUCUAUUCAGGUUGGCAUGGCCUCAACCAUUUUGAGUCAAAUUUCUGUCUAGUCUAGUAGGACCAUUUCCUAAAGUUGUAUCCAUACUAGGAAGGCAGAUAUGAAGAAAUGCUGCUAUGCUACCAAUCAGAAUAAUGUAGGCUUUGGGGUCCUGGGCUGGUAAAGCCUGGGUAUGAUGGCUAAAUUGAGCUGUUCUUACCCAGAUGAGGCUUAUGGUCAUCUGCUCUGUCUCCAAAGGUAAUCAGCCACUGCACAUGAGGUUUACUACACUGCACACGCAUGUGUGUUCUCUAGGUAAAUUUAAAUGAUAUUUUUUGGGGGGAAUCUGAGCUCAAAGAGAUAGAGUUCAAAUCAGAUCCAGUGUCUUUUCUGUCUCUAGGUGCCCAAAAUUGUCAUAAAGAGACAAUCUCUUACCUUCUGAGAAAUAUCAGUCAUUCCCUGUGACUCACACCAGCUUCUAUAUUUAGAACUGGGUCUCCUGCCAUCUGAUGCAGGCCACAGAUGAACAGGUCUCCUGCCAUCUGAUCCAUACGCCACACUUCAGGCUAUGUUAUCCCUAAGCCCACCACAUCCACUUACGAUUGAGGACAAAGGAAAAAGAAAGGGCCAUCAUCUUUAUGUGUCUUUUAAAGGACAUUCCUGUCAGUAAGAAGAAAGAGUCUAAGAUUUUACCCCGCUAACAAGUUAUCCUAUUACAGUUUUAUAGAGCAGAGGACAAAAAACUACUGGGUCAAAGACAAAGACUUUAUUCCAUAUAGCAAUAGCAGUAGCCAGAGUAUCAGUAAUUUCUUGAACUGGUUCCUAAGACUCCAAUUAUUCCAAUAGGGUGUUAUAAAGAGGGCCACAUGACACCCACACACACAGCAGAUUGCAUUACAUGAGAGAAAACUCUGAGCUUAGGGAACCAGAAUCUUUUAUAAUAAGCGGUAAGCAUCCCUCCAUGCUCUAGAAGGAAACACUUUCUCUGCCACUUAAGGCUACUUAUUAUACAACUGUUAUUUUAAAAAACAGCUCUGGAACAAAGGGCAACCAGUGCCUCUGCUUGCAAGAUGUGUGAUUAGAACUAUAGAGAAUUUUCUCCCAAGAAUCCUUUGAUUUUGCUGUUGCCAGUUAUGGCAAAAAGGCAUACUGUGGCUUUAUAAUAUAGCAAUUGCUCCCUCAAUAGGCAACCACACACUUUCGGUCAGGGUUCUUGGGCACUUGGCUUUGGGCCUUGAGAAUCCCAUGGUUUCCAAAGAGAAUGUAAAUAUAAAUAAUGAUGUUUGAUUACACGUGUCCGUAUAAAGGUAUUCCACUUUGAAAAGUAACUUAGGAAAAAACAAAAACCCCAAAAAAGCCCACUUAAAAUUUCACACAUUUUUUAAAAGGGAAACGGUUUUAUUCCUUACGCUUUAUUUGAAUUGGAACCCUGCAUUUAAAUUUUAGCAUGUUGAGGUUCUUUAGAAAGGAAAGAUAAGUUUACAUACAAUCCCAGACAGAAUAUAAAAAAGACUCAUCAAAAGAGAAUUCUAAUUCCAGUCAAGUGACCCUCUUUCUACAAAUUGUUAAUUAAAAGCUCAAGGGUAAAAUAGGACAAAAAACCCAUUUAUUCAUUUUCAGAUAAAGGUCAGUUCUUCCAUGGUAUAACAUUAUUUUCCCUAGGGCAGUUAUAUUCAUACAUAGAAUCUACUUUAGCAAAAAUAUUAUCUGUUUAACUGGAAAUCUAUACAGAUAAUUAAAUUCCUGCUAUCUCACACAGCUACCUCUAGUCUUAUGGAAUAAAUGAGUGCACAUCAGGAUUUUUAAUUUUCUCAUUAAUAUAGCAAAUAAGUAAAAUUCAUUUACACGGCAUUUCUUCACUUUUAAAGAGCAAUGUUUCCUGUUCACUCUGCACUUUUAAAGUGUAAACACAACAUUCUUGCCAUAAGAGAUAAAAAGACUAUAUUCUCUUCAAAAAAGUGCUUUUAUGUGAAUAAAAAGGAAGUGUAUUCGAUUUUGUAGAAUCAUCACAAACAGAACUUAAAAUCACACUAGAAAUAGAUGCUAACAGAAAGCUGUUGAGUUUCCUUGCAAACAGGAAAAGAAGCAGUGGAUGUUCCAAAACUGGGGAUCCUGUCAAUGGCUGGGUCUGCUUAGUUGUGUGCAGUGCUCUGAAAGGGCUACAUCAGAAAUUCCUUAGUAAAUGAGUAAGUGAGAGUCAGAAUCUAAAGGCUAUGCCUGCCUUGGCAGCACAUAAACAGACACCUCAACUGUGCAAAGAUGGCUGGCAUAACCUCUGUGCAAGAGAAACACAUGCCCACAAAGUAUUCCAUGCUUCUGAAAGUGCCUAAAAGAUGUGGGUGAUAGUGUCU